CUCUCCCCCGCAUAUCCACUCCAAUCGCAUCGCACCGCACCCCUCCCUCCCUCCCAUCUCCCCUCCCUCCACCCAGCGCCGAUGACCGCGCGCGGCGACGAGGUGCGCACGGCAGCGACCGUUGAAGGGUCCCGUAUAAUCUCGCCCCCUCCUCCCCUCUCACUAACAGGCGGGCCCCCACUGACAGGACCCUCUCCUGCGCCUCUCUCUCUCUCUCACGAGUCACCAACAGAGGAGCGGCGGCGGCGUCCGGCGGCGCGCAUCGAGGUGCAGCCCCUCUCCUCUAUAUCUCUCUAUCCAUCUCUUCCGCUUAGAGCUCCCCCUGCCCCCUCUCCCUCGGAUGUCUCCAUGGAUGACUGAUGGUGGCGACGGCGGACGCCCUCUCUCCCUGCCCUGGUCCCCCCUCUCCUCCCUGAUCUUCUUUUCCUCUCUGACCUGCAGCACGAAGGAGGCCAGGACGAAGCGGCAGGCCGACGACCAGUGGCACCUCUAUCUUCUUAGCUCCUGAUUCCUCGCCAGGUAUGACCCUACCUGUUCGAUCUGCUUGGACAGUGGAUUAGUAUGUUGUAAGGUGUAUUUAUCUGAAUGUAUGUAUUAGUAUGUUGGCGCCUUGAAAAUUAAGCAGUGGAAACGAGACCCUGCCGGUAGUAGCUAUUGUGCUUGUGUUUCACCGAGCAGUUGCUGCUAAAUGCCGAUUCGUCGUCAAACCAGCAUGUUGGCGCUUGCGAUAAAAGUGCAUCAUGUGAGGCUUAGCCUGAUGAGUGACCAGUCGAGUGUUUGUUACUGCAUACUAUAGUAACUGCAUGUAUAGAGAGCAGCUAUGCCUUGUGGCCUUCUGGGGGUGUGCCCCCCCCCACAAGCAACAUAAACAUAAAAAAUAUGCACAUUGUUGUUUUUCUUAUUCCCCACAAGCAAUGCCCGGUUACUACUAAGAUGAAGAAAGUGUAAAUGUAUGCUUCUAGUAGUAUGUAUGCGCACAAACAAAUAGCUUUUAGUCAUCUAAUUACCACUCGGUAACUUAACUUGUGUUGCUUCAACAACAAAACCUAUCAAAACUACCGGGGUAGACAUGAAUGAGUGAAAACAAAUAUGCAUGGCACCAGCACAUGUAAGAUCGAUUUGCGCCAAACAUCCUAGAGUAUGAAAAGUUCGCAAAGAAUAAUAUCUGAAUGUUGUGCAUCAAGCCAUGAACCAACAAACAUAAGGCAGAUCGACCAGCUUGUGUUAAAUUCCGUGCUUUAGAGUGAAAUGCACUGGCACUGAAUCAACUUGCAUAUUUUGCAUCCUCCCUGAUAAAGAGGGCAACUUGACAUAUGUAUGUUUGUAUGAGUGUCUCUAGUGCUACAUACAUGCAUUGAGAUGAUACAAACAAUAGCCAUCUUAUGUUUCUCUGUUACACUUACGCCAUGCGCGUUUAUGACUCUGCAUUUAUGUCACGAGUCAACAGCAUAUUGGCUCUUGCUCAUGCCACUUUAUAUUUAUAUGAAAUUCUACUGUUACAUUAGACCAAAUGGAUGGGCAUGGGAAUGCACGCCAUCAAUGGUUUAGCAAGUUACAUGCAUAGAUGAUCAGUACAGCUAGCCGAGAAUUCCUUUUGAAGAACUUCAUCACGAGGGCCCAUGCUUGUGCAGGAACAAAUAGUUACCCCUUUCUCCUGAAAUGUUGAUUAAUUUUUGUUUCGGUUGAGAAUGGGGCACUCCUAGGUCAAGAAAAUUAGCAAAGGUCAUGCACAAUUUUAUUGACCUAGAAGGUGCCCGAUUCUCCACCGAAACAAAAAUUAAUCAACAUUUAGAGACAAUGUUAUUUCCUCACCCAUAGAAAGCUAGUAGUUAUGAGGGCAUUAACUUAUGGUGCUUUCAAGCAAUCCUAGUGUGUAUAUACUAUAUAGGUUUGAUGAUUGCCUUAUCUCUGUUUCAUUAUAUACUAUGUAGCAGUAUUUGUUUGGGAGGAAUUGUGUCAACAAUGAACUUGCAAUAAUGGAUGGAAUAAGGUGAAUGAUGUCCCAAUAUGUCGUUGUUUGUGCUCAUAAUGAAUGUCAUCAACUAUGGUCCUUUUAUUUAUUACUCAUUUGACUUAUUUUGUUAUACUACUUCGGAUUCGCCUUUCAGCUCCACAGUCGAAGAUUGUAAAUGAAAUCCAUAACAAAUUUUAGUUCUGAAAGUUGUUGAAAGUAAUUAUAAAAUGAGAUUAAAUGUGUUUAGUAAAUAAGAGGAAGACGUAUUUUGCCUUUGUAACUAGGUUCUUAAGGAUAUUGCUGCUUUCUGCCUGAGGUCUAGUUUUCUUUAUUUUCUUUUGGCAAUUUGAUCCAAUACUACCCAAGAACUGUGCUAGCAAGAUAUGGCAAUUGCAUUUCUGUGCUGAAGAAAAUUGACAAUAGUGAUGCUAUUAUACUAUAUCCAGUUUACAGUAUGGUGUGAGACUGACAAUCUUUUAGGUUAUUCCUCAGUCUCACAACCCUUUACCUUGCCAUUUCGGUGUGCUCUGUUGGACCAAUAAAGUUGAAGAGUUCUGCUUUGCUAAGUUAGAGCAUUUCCUAAAAAAUAUGUUAUGUUUGGUGGAACCUAAAUUUCGCCUAACCAGAUUUUAGAGGGAAUGAUGCCACUAUCUAGUAACUUCAUCGUAUUUCAUGCAAGUCCUUAUUAGUCGUAGUAGGUGAUCUGAAGUGUACUAUAUUUAGAUUGCUAUCCUUUUAUUACGGUAAUAGUUAAUUAUUUAACUGAGCUUGUACUAGACACUUUUUGGGCAAAACAAGGUUUCCUGUUAAUGUAACAAGAGGAAUGGUUGUAUUCUCAAUUUUCCUCCUAAUCUGAGAAGAAUAGAUACUACCCUGAUCUCAUCCAAUAACUCUAGUAGCCUUUUCUCCUAUUUAGAGUGAACAUGGCCAACAACGAUGAGGCCGGCGGUUCGGGCAAGCCAUUCUAGGAGCUGUCCCAGGAGAUGGAGGAAGAACCUCGCCGUUAUGAGGUCGCCGUGGAAGACACCGACCCCGACUACACAACCCCUAGUGGCGUCGGGGAUGUCACCACUGAUGGUGCCGCCGGGGAUGCCACCACUGAUGAUGGCAACGAACGCACAGAUGGCAGCCAACCGAAGAGGCAACGGAAGGAUCGGCGCCCGAACGUGCUCGACACCGUCAAGGAGGAAUUUACUGAAGUGUCCUCCAGUGGGCAUCCAACGGCGCCCAAAGAAUUAGUCGGUGGGUACGCGGGAUAACUCGGGUGCAUUGUCCGGAGCACCGUCCCGAUCAACACCGAGAACCUAAGACAUCAUGACAGAGGGAAUUUGCGCAACGUCCUCUUCACGAAGCUGCACGAAUGAUACAAGUUCCCCGGUAACGUCGCAAACACACGCCUCUCAGGGAAUAAAGUGAACAGUGCCGCCCUCACGAAGAUGAGCACGACCCUGGCUACUUGGUGAGCCGCGGUGAAGAGAAGGAUUAUAAGAGGUGAUAGUUAUGAGAAGAUCAAGGAGACAAAUCCUUCGAUCAGAAAAGCUGACUACCUGGAGUUCAAGAUCAAGUGCGAGAGCAACGCAUCCGCGGAAUCAAGUCAGUGGGGGAAAGAUAUGCGGGACUUGAACUUAGGGGACCUCAAACUCGGUCCCGGCGGUUACAGAGUGGCGGAACCUAAAUGGGACAAGGAGGACGUGGAGCGUGCCGAUCAAGGUCUACAGCCCCUCUUCGAUAAAUACCAUGAAAAGCAGACCAGGAACUAUGUGAGGGCCCGGUAAAAGGUGGACCCGGUAACAAAGGAGCUUACCACGGAUCUGAAGGUGAAGGAGCUUGAGCGUGUUCUGGUAAGGAAUACACCCCCUCGUAAUUAUCUCCAUAUAGUUGCAUUCUAAUUAAUGAAGCCAAAUUUCUAAAUGGUUCACGUUCCUUCCACAGGAAACUGAAAGCAGUAGCGCGGGGUCUCAGAGCUCCUUUCUGCCCCUUGGGACACCACUUUAAAUAGGGCGUUGAACGUAAUGAAACACAAGGAUAAGUUCAGUAAGCCGUCGUCAGCUGGUCGUGUAGCCGGCGAAGGCUUGUCCACGAAAUGGUCGGAAUACUAUAAGGCUGGGCAAAAGGAGAGAAAGACCAGCUCGGAAAGCCAGGAGCGCGAGGUUAAAGAAAUCAAGGCACAAGUGGCGUAGAUUCCGGAGAUAGUCCAAGAGCAAGUGCGACACCAACUGGGAGCGACGAUCACCGCCAUUAUGCCUUCCUUGCUUGAGGGGAUGCGGGGGUGGAUUGCGGGCGGCCAACAGGGGCCGCCCCCGAUUCCCAACUUCACGGGCAGCAACUCGCACAACGCGCCUGCAUCGGUCUCUCCGGAGGAGGCGGCAUUGCAGGUGUCUCCGGCGUCGGCGCCGGUAUUGGAGCUUAAUGCACCCGUGUGUGGGAAGAAUACGCCGGCCGGCACCUCGGCAGCAAGCGGCCCCUCCGUCACUUCCACGCCCGCCGUUGGCGGUGCCUCGACAUUAGUCGAGCUCGACGCCAUCACGGUAACUAAGCCUCGGCCGAUGACUUCAUCACCUUGACUUUGACUGGGCAUCCGUGAUGCCCUACAUGUUUUCGCACGGCACCGCCAACGUUCCAUGCACUCUCCUGCACUUCAUGGACGGCGAGUUGAUUGAUGUCGCCAAGGCCAAAAUCGUUGAACCGGGCAACCGCAUGUUCCACAGUAAUCCGAUGCCACCCACCGUGUAUAGGGUUCAACUGGUUCGGGUGCUGCAGGGUUGCGAUGACUUGUUACCUCCGUAUCGACCACCUCGGGCCGACGAAGAUGAUGUGAUGACCCUCAACGCCUGCGUAAACUGGUCCAUGCUUUGGCCGAAGAGCCAGAUUCGUUUGGGGCCGGGGGGACACCACCCCAUAGACAACAACGCCAGUCGUGCCGGCGCCAAGCCAUGGCAAGACCGCCGCAACGCUACCGCCGUCAGCUGAUCCGGACAUGCAUAUGGCACAUGAUUUGGACAACGACGACGGUACAUUUCCAACGUUGAUAAGUACAUCAAUGAACUUCGGUACGGUGAUGAAUUGUUGGGGCCUCCUUCUGAAGAACCCAACCCUGCAAAAGACGAUCGCGAUCUAGCUGGUACUGCGGAGAAACCCAAUCACAACAGGCGUCGUCUAUUCAGUUCUCAGGAGACGCCUCCAGCUGCCGCCAUCACCGAGGCUCAAAUAGCCGAGGUGUAAAAUAUUAUCAGCCCCAACACACUCAAGAAGGUGGUCUCUGAGUAGAACUCGAUCCCAUUAAAGCAGAAGAAGCAGAAGGGAUGGAACCCCCCCCCCCAGGGUGCGAGCCAGCCGACACCGAGUACGAUCCAUACUCGGGACGGGCCACCAAUAUCUAAUGAUAUCUCGAGGAGGGUGCAUGUGGCGGGUAGGCCGAUGCUACCGACUAAUCUGCUCAAUGCUGCAACCGGUGCUAUGCGGAGUCUGCAUGACGGUGUUCUUUAUAUGGAGAAGCGGCGUCUCUCCGAGAAUGAUCUGGCAUACCCGGUUUUCGUGGCCAAGGUGCCAGAGGGAAAGGUCUUUUCGAUAGCACCAUCAGGCGUAUGAUUGUCCUGCGGUUUGAUGACAUCUUCGAUAUGUUGAACCUUUAUCCGCUGCACUACACCCUCAUCCGGCUAUUUUCGCUCAGUAUGGAGAUGCGCAUCAUUAGACACAAGACCCCGGACAUCGUGAUAGUCGACCCCUUCUACAUGUGUGCCAAGAUCUUGGGUAGCGCUAGGGACCGGCAAGUCGCGAGUUCAUACCUCGAAGGCGUCAUUCUGGCGAAUGGAGAUAAGGAUAACUACCUCGUGCCUUACUUUUCCGAGUAAGUCAUCCCCUCACCGCCCCAUAACAUAUGAUUUCUUAGAUUUCGAUCAUUCUUUUUUACUAACAUUCUGUGUUUUGUGCAGUGACACACAUUGCACACUCAUCCUCUUAAGCCCGAAAUAUUCCAUGGCGAUGUAUUUCGACUCGGACCGUCAGUCGAAGAAAGACUACACAACUAUCAAGAAAGUUCUUGAUGAUGCUCUCCCCGGCUACGCCAAAUAUGGUGGCACCUUCAGGAGGCCAAUUCGUAGGUACGGCAAGCAUGUGUUCACCCACGUAACGACGUUCCCCUGCGUCAAGAAGCCGCCUGGAAGUCAAAAGGAUGCCUACUACGCCCUCCAUCACACGCGGGCAAUCGUACGGGACCAGCAUCACCGUAUGCUAACAAAUGAUCUCAAAGAAUGGGCCACAUGCUUGUCGGCAAUCCAGGACGAGGACAUCAGACAAGAACUCUUUCGCAUCCAGUCAGAGUUUGCGGAAAUCAUCUAUCAAGAUGUCCUUCCUAGCUCGGGGCAGUUGUACCUCAACUGUCAACCGUCCAACAGUGAAAUAGAAACAACGCUACAAAUGCAGGCUGACAACAACCGCACAUUCAUGACCAUCAGGAAAGACGACGGCUUCAUCCAUGCUCCGGUCCCUGAGUCGAGUCAAAAGUAUUGAUGCUAUGUAGUUCUGAAAUAUCGAUUAGCUCAUGUUGUAAUUAAACUUUGAUGAACUUGUAUGUCUCUUUAGUUUGGACAGCCGUUCAACUUAUAUGUAAUCGAUGCUAGGACCAUGAAUCGUGCUAUUAAUGUGUUGCUUUUCUCUUCCGAUCCUUUUGUUGCAUACUUAUAUAUUUCUUAUAUAUUAUCUGUGAAUUGCUACUAACGUUUUGUGUGUCUAGUGCAUAGAGAUGUCGUCGUAUGUCGUGUACAAGGGUGAGGUUCCCAGAGUCUACGACGACUAGGAGGAGUGUCGAAGACAGGUUCACCGUUUUAGCGGUAACUGUUACAAAGGGUACACCACUAAGACACAGGCGGAAGCUAGAUACGCGCGCUAUCUAGCGGGAGAGAGGAGGGAGCGGAGGAGGAACCGGAUGAAGAUCAGUUUCAUCGUGAUGAUGCUCAUCGUGACCGCAACCAUCUUCUAUGUGAUGGUAGUUCACAUAUCGACUUGUAGUGUGAAGACAAACUCACUACUCGCGGUCUCGAGACUUGUAAUGUUCUAACUUUGUUCGGUAUUUUGAAUUCAGAGACUAAUAUGAUGAAUUGUAUUCGAAGACUAAUCUUCUAUUGUAUUCGAUAAAUCUGCUGUUUAUAUGUUGUGUUGUUUAUAUUCUGUGUUGUAAUGUAUUUUGUAACCUG
rnacentral:lncRNA from 1 species